GAUGAACGCUGGCGGCGUGCCUAAUACAUGCAAGUCGAGCGAACAGACGAGGAGCUUGCUCCUCUGACGUUAGCGGCGGACGGGUGAGUAACACGUGGAUAACCUACCUAUAAGACUGGGAUAACUUCGGGAAACCGGAGCUAAUACCGGAUAAUAUAUUGAACCGCAUGGUUCAAUAGUGAAAGACGGUUUUGCUGUCACUUAUAGAUGGAUCCGCGCCGCAUUAGCUAGUUGGUAAGGUAACGGCUUACCAAGGCAACGAUGCGUAGCCGACGUGGGGGGGUGAUCGGCGACCCUGGAACUGAGACACGGUCCAGGCUCCUACGGGAGGCAGCAGUAGGGAAUCUUCCGCAAUGGGCGAGAGCCUGACGGAGCAACGCCGCGUGAGUGAUGAAGGUCUUCGGAUCGUAAAACUCUGUUAUUAGGGAAGAACAAAUGUGUAAGUAACUAUGCACGUCUUGACGGUACCUAAUCAGAAAGCAACGGCUAACUACGUG
rnacentral:rRNA from 1 species